GACGAACGCUGGCGGCGUGCCUAAUACAUGCAAGUAGGACGCUGAAGGAGGAGCUUGCUUCUCUGGAUGAGUUGCGAACGGGUGAGUAACGCGUAGGUAACCUGCCUGGUAGCGGGGGAUAACUAUUGGAAACGAUAGCUAAUACCGCAUAAUAGUAGAUGUUGCAUGACAUUUGCUUAAAAGGUGCAAUUGCAUCACUACCAGAUGGACCUGCGUUGUAUUAGCUAGUUGGUGGGGUAACGGCUCACCAAGGCGACGAUACAUAGCCGACCUUAGAGGGUGAUCGGCCACACUGGGACUGAGACACGGCCCAGACUCCUACGGGAGGCAGCAGUAGGGAAUCUUCGGCAAUGGACGGAAGUCUGACCGAGCAACGCCGCGUGAGUGAAGAAGGUUUUCGGAUCGUAAAGCUCUGUUGUAAGAGAAGAACGAGUGUGAGAGUGGAAAGUUCACACUGUGACGGUAUCUUACCAGAAAGGGACGGCUAACUACGUG
rnacentral:rRNA from 1 species